CCCUCGAUCGAUCAUGGCAUAUUCUCGGUCUAGGUUACAACCCACAUGUAAGCAGUAGUGGCCUGGAGCGUGCCGCGGUCAUACAUUACAAUGGCAACAUGAAGCCCUGGCUUGAGAUUGGCCUGCCCAAGUUCCGAAGCUACUGGUCAGAGUAUCUUGACUACGAUCAGCCUUUUCUGCGGGAAUGCAACAUCAAUCCGUGAAGCAAGACCAGUACCUCCCAAGCCAUUCUGACAUCUCUAGCCUAGUUUGUUCAGUGUUUGAUUUAUUUGCCGGCAUCCCAUGUUGGGUAUGGUUUGUGGAGAAGGUUGUAGCGGUUGAGAUUACAUGCCAGUAGGGAAAAAGAAUAAUUCUGCAGUGUAAAUGCUUUUUGGCAUACCAUCGUUGUGUACGAAAUGUUAGAUUGCUGCCGUCGAGUAUCUGUAACAGGGAAGUUAGAAAUACACUAGAAAGACCAAAUGACCCUGGGUCUUAUUAGUUAGGCAGGGUUCAAGCCUCACUUCUAUCUAUUAAAAUUGGUGCCUAGUUGACAGCAUUGUCACAUGUGUUUUUUUUCUAAGUACUUGGCUUCUUGUUAGCUGGAAACUAACCUCACCUACCAAUUUAAAUGGUUCAUCUCAUCUUAUGUCCAAUUUGCAGUGAUAUAGAGCAAUUGCCACAUCUCAUAUAAAAUCUUGAGAUUUUUUUUCUUAUUUCAAUACGUUCAAUCGCUCAUAACAUGCUGAAAACAAUCUACUAUUUUCUUGUUUGCUGUUGAUAUCAUGCAUACUUAGUACUCUUAGUACUCCCUCACUUCCUAAAUAUAAGUCUUCUUACAGAUUUCGAUAUGGACUACAUACGGAGCAAAACGAGUGAAUCUAUACUCUAAAAUAUGUUUAUAUACAUCCAUAUAUAGUUUAUAUUGAAAUAUCUAAAAAGACAUAUAUAUUUAGAAACGGAGGAAGUACAAUUCUUAUACUCCAUCCAAUCAUAAAGUUGUACUAAGUGUGCGUUAAUUAAUAUGGAUUGAAGGGAGUACAUUUUUCUAUUUGAAAAGGAGGUUAAACCCUGCAUCAUGUGAUGCACACACGCCUAGUAUUAUUAAUUUACCCCCUCCGCAAAGAAAUAUAAUAGCGUUUAGAUCAUUGCAUUAGUGAUCUAAAUGCUCUUAUAUUUCUUUAUGGAGGGAGUACUAUUCAUCAAAGUACAAUACAAAGACAAACACGGCUGAAUAAUUACAAAGAGAUGAAUAAACAAUUAUGACUAAGUCGAUUUCUUUUGUAGCAAUGCCUUUUGCAAGGGGUACACGACCUCGCGCCAUCGUCACCAUGUCUGACUGAAGAAGGCUAGGAAAAGUAUUUUCAUCCCAGUUGUGGAGACCAACUACUGAAGGUCAAUACGUCAGCAAUGGGGCAAUGCCUUCAACAUGGUAAUGAGACAAAAAUCAUCAUUGUUGAGCAUAACCAAUAAAGGUCGGAACAAGGGUUUUCACCAUGGACAUGAAAUAGUGUCACAUCCACCGCCUUAAAAAUGUUGAAAAUCUAUACUACUAUAUAGUGUAUGAGUUUGGGAGCAUCAAUCCUAGCCACUGGUCUCAUAAAUCUAACGGCUGAGAUUAGAGGGAUUCACAGUGAACAAUAGUCCGCAGCUGAAUCUACUGGGUUCUGAAACCAUCGCAUCGUACCUCAUAGAAAAGAAGACCUAUGCCUCUUCUGCCAUGUUGCAAUUGUCACGUUGUGAUGAGUAAAAAAAUAAGGGUAGGCUAUGAGCCCAUGUGAGAUGGUCCGAGAGGAGAAAUAAAAGCUGAAGUAAGCAAUUUGUGGGUCCCACCACAUACAUCUUUCUUUAUAUUCUUAAAAAAAGGGGUGACAGCAGGCAGUGCUCGUCCCCCUGGCUCCGCCCCUAUUAAUAUUGCAGAGAUUUUGUUUUCCUGAUCAUGAGCAUUAAGAUGCCGGCAAUAAUGAGAACACCUUGUUGGUUGAAAAGAUGCCUCUCGGGGGCUCUCGGCGCCAUCCAAUAUGCGAGCCCAUGGUCCAAGUCGCCGGGGUCAUUCAUGCGAGGGGUAGUCCAGGCCCGGCUGUGAGCGGUUACUUUGGUCGCGCAAGCCAACCUAUUUUGCUUGGGCUAGACAGGUGCGCGUGGUCACCCCUGCCGGUCUGUGCUGCUCAUGCCAGCCACGCGCUGGGUGGUUGGAGAGGGUCGUCCGGCUAGGGUCGCAAUGGCGUGCAAUUGUUGAGACUAGGUCCACUUGUUAGCACUCGUGGCCUCUUGUCGGGCUGCCUCGCUCUCACCAGCCACGAGUCCGGUGGUCGAAGAGGGCCAUCCAAACAUGGGUGCGGCCGCGACCUAGCUGGUUGGCCAGGCCCCAGCCAUAUCUGAAUGCUACCGCAAGGGUAGCUCGGUCUUUUCCUUAAGGCGGUUAUGUCUUGCUAUAAGUUCGUUGUUUUAUGCUGCAUAUAGGAUGGCGCGCAAGUGGCCACCCUCUUCCUUUUCCCUUGUACUCGUUGCUCCCUUGUGCUCUUUGCCCAUAGCCCCCGCAACGGCUGAACACAUCUCCGGUCUCAUCCUUCUUACAUGAAUGUGCAGCCUGUCGUGUUCUUCGGCCUCUUUAAGCGUUCAAUUCGCCGUCGGGCAGCUCCUCGUCUCUGUUUUGGGUGGGUGUCUCCUUUGCUCUAUUGUCUGUGUUCAUCUUUUUUUCUGCUUGGCGUCUUUUUUUCUUUGAUCGUGCCGCCGCAGGACACACUGUUUCUUAUCGCGUUGAGAUGGUUUUCUUUGGGGGUUCUCUUGGGUUUCAUGGGUUUAACCGGGUUUUUUCCCUGUGAUUUUUGUUUCAAUUUUUCUUGGUUUUUUCGACUUUUUUGUUGUUGUCUGUCAAAAGUGUGAAAGCACGAUAGUGCUUCAUAUGAACUAAUAUCCCUUCUUUGCUUAGGUUAUCUGGUUGCUGGUUCCUAACUACUUCCUUUGUGAAGACCCUUAAAAAAAACUUAGAACUUCCUCUGUGAAGACCCUUAAAAAAAACUUUCUCUAUGAAGAAAUAUAAGAGCGCUUAGAUCACUGUACCGAGGAAGUACAUCACACACUAGUCAAAAAACAAAGUCUCAGCUUGGAUUUCUGACAGGAACAUUAUCAUGAGACAUGAGCAUAUAUUACAUUUCAAGAUCCGACCGGACAGUUCCUCAACGAAAGGCGCCACCCCACUCCCAGUCCCAUCCAUCCUUACUAAUGUGGAAAUAGCCAUCCUGAUCGUGGAUGGAACCGACGGAUUCGGUGUCAAAACUAGCCCUUUUUGGCUUUCCAGGGGCGAUCGUUGCCCCCUGGAGCGUCAUCGGAGUCCGCUGCAAGUUGAGAGAGGUUGCCGCUGCAUGUGGCUGUGGAGGUAGAGGCAGCUCCCCACUUCCUACAAGGGGUAUAUGCCCCCGUCACCAUCCUCUCUAUCCAAUGUCUCUCCCUGUCCCGUCAGGUUUUUUAUAAGCGCAAGUUGGCAGCGCUGUGACUGAGGAUCAUGUGGGAGUGUGGUCUCUCCCGUUUUGGCCAUUUCCCUGCUAUAUAUGAGAGCUUCACAUUCACUUGGUCACAACCACAUCACCACACAGAUCCAUCCAUCCAGAUAUCACGCUCCUGUUAUACAGUGGAAGAGCAGAGCAGAGCCUUCCUGCAGAAUCCCCCUCCUGUUCAGGCGCCCUGUCUUAUCUUGCUGAGGAUGGACAAGGUGAAGAGCCAUGGCAGCAAGCACAAGGGAUCAGGAGGAGUAGGAGGAGGGCUGAGCAGGAUGCUGAGGCAGCACAAGGCCAGGCUCUACAUCAUCCGCCGUUGCAUCGUCAUGCUCCUCCGUUCUUGAGCUGAUUCUUGUUUCUAGCUUAGGUUUAACAGAUUCUUUGGUGCGUGUGUAUAUACUACAUAACAUAGGGUAGUUCAGAGGUUCAGAUAGAUGUUGCUGACGGUUAGUUUGGAUGGAAGUUUUUGUGUGGUAUGGUGCUCCUAAGUCCUGCAAUGGAAGGAUGUUCAAGUACCGAUGUGUCAUGUGUUGGAGUGUUCUGUGUUUGCUCUAUCAGCACAAGUGAAUGAGGUCUCAAGAAAAAAAGGUUACCCCCUGGCAUUUCAUUUUAUCCACACUUCUAAGUAAUAAUUCUGCGAUGUUGGAUUGCUUUACUUAGAAAAUUGUUAACAUUGUCACAUGUGUAUUUUUUUUUUCAAGUACUUGCAUUCUUGUUUGUUGGAAACUAACGUCACACCUACAAAUUUAAAUGGUUCAUUUCAU
rnacentral:lncRNA from 1 species